rnacentral:rRNA from 1 species
UACGAAGGGGGCUAGCGUUGCUCGGAAUCACUGGGCGUAAAGGGUGCGUAGGCGGGUCUUUAAGUCAGGGGUGAAAUCCUGGAGCUCAACUCCAGAACUGCCUUUGAUACUGGGAGCUCGAGUCCGGAAGAGGUGAGUGGAACUCCGAGUGUAGAGGUGAAAUUCGUAGAUAUUCGGAAGAACACCAGUGGCGAAGGCGGCUCACUGGUCCGGUACUGACGCUGAGGUGCGAAAGCGUGGGGAGCAAACAGG